rnacentral:misc_RNA from 1 species
GAAAUGCGAUAACUAAUGUGAAUUGCAGAAUUCAGUGAAUCAUCGAAUCUUUGAACGCACAUUGCGCUCCUUGGUAUUCCUUGGAGCAUGCCUGUUUGAGUAUCAUGAAAUCUUCAAAGUAAAUCUUUUGUUAACUCAAUUGGUUUCUACUUUGGUAUUGGAGGUCUUUGCAGCUUCACACCUGCUCCUCUUUGUUCAUUAGCUGGAUCUCAGUGUUAUGCUUGGUUCCACUCGGCGUGAUAAGUUAUCUAUCGCUGAGGACACUGUAAAAGGUGGCCAAGGUAAAUGCAGAUGAACCGCUUCUAAUAGUCCAUUGACUUGGACAAUACUUUUAUGAUCUGAUCUCAAAUCAGGUAGGACUACCCGCUGAACUUAAGC